AACGAACGCUGGCGGCGUGCCUAAUACAUGCAAGUCGAGCGAGCGGCGGACGGGUGAGUAAUGUAUGGGAAACUGCCUGAUGGAGGGGGAUAACUACUGGAAACGGUAGCUAAUACCGCAUACCAUCAGAGGUGCCCAUAUGGGAUUAGCUAGUAGGUGGGGUAAUGGCUCACCUAGGCAACGAUCCCUAGCUGGUUUGAGAGGAUGACCAGCCACACUGGAACUGAGACACGGCCCAGACUCCUACGGGAGGCAGCAGUGGGGAAUAUUGGACAAUGGGGGCAAGCCUGAUGCAGCCAUGCCGCGUGUGUGAAGAAGGCCUUCGGGUUGUAAAGCACUUUCAGCGAGGAGGCGUUACUCGCAGAAGAAGCACCGGCUAACUCCGUGCCAGCAGCCGCGGGAAUUC
rnacentral:rRNA from 1 species